AAUCAACGCUGGCGGCGUGCCUAACACAUGCAAGUCGAACGCGAAAGUGGAGCAAUCCAUGAGUAGAGUGGCAAACGGGUGAGUAACGCGUGGGCGACCUGCCUUCGAGUGGGGGAUAACAUUCCGAAAGGGAUGCUAAUACCGCAUAACAUCCUUCGUUUAGAUACGAGGCGAUCAAAGCCGGGAGCAAUUCUGGCGCUUAAAGAGGGGCCCGCGUCCGAUUAGCUAGUUGGUGGGGUAAUGGCCUACCAAGGCUUCGAUCGGUAUCCG
rnacentral:rRNA from 1 species